rnacentral:lncRNA from 1 species
AUUAACUCGGUGGAGAAAGAUAUUUGUACUCAGUAUUUAAUUAAUGUAAGGUAGGUCGCUACUGAUAUAUGUAAACAGAUUGUUAUGGUUAGUCAUUGAUGGAGUUGAGUGUAAAUAAUAUAAUGUAUUUGAAC